GAUGAAGAACGCAGCGAAAUGCGAUAAGUAGUGUGAAUUGCAGAAUUCAGUGAAUCAUCGAAUCUUUGAACGCACAUUGCGCCGCUUGGUACUCCAUGGGGCAUGCCUGUUCGAGCGUCAUUUGUACCUUCAAGCUCUGCUUGGUGUUGGGUGUUUGUCUCGCCUCUGCGUGUAGACUCGCCUCAAAACAAUUGGCAGCCGGCGUAUUGAUUUCGGAGCGCAGUACAUCUCGCGCUUUGCACUCAUAACGACGACGUCCAAAAGUACAUUUUUACACUCUUGACCUCGGAUCAGGUAGGGAUACCCGCUGAACUUAAGCAUAUCAAUAAGCGGAGGA
rnacentral:misc_RNA from 1 species